rnacentral:rRNA from 3 species
GGGUGGUAAUGCCGGAUGCUCCAGUUGAUCGCAUGGUCUUCUGGGAAAGCUUUCGCGGUAUGGGAUGGGGUCGCGUCCUAUCAGCUUGACGGCGGGGUAACGGCCCACCGUGGCUUCGACGGGUAGCCGGCCUGAGAGGGCGACCGGCCACAUUGGGACUGAGAUACGGCCCAGACUCCUACGGGAGGCAGCAGUGGGGAAUAUUGCACAAUGGGCGCAAGCCUGAUGCAGCGACGCCGCGUGAGGGAUGGAGGCCUUCGGGUUGUAAACCUCUUUUAUCGGGGAGCAAGCGAGAGUGAGUUUACCCGUUGAAUAAGCACCGGCUAACUACGUGCCAGCAGCCGCGGUAAUACGUAGGGUGCAAGCGUUAUCCGGAAUUAUUGGGCGUAAAGGGCUCGUAGGCGGUUCGUCGCGUCCGGUGUGAAAGUCCAUCGCUUAACGGUGGAUCCGCGCCGGGUACGGGCGGGCUUGAGUGCGGUAGGGGAGACUGGAAUUCCCGGUGUAACGGUGGAAUGUGUAGAUA